UACGUAGGGUGCAAGCGUUAAUCGGAAUUACUGGGCGUAAAGCGUGCGCAGGCGGUUGUGCAAGACAGAUGUGAAAUCCCCGGGCUCAACCUGGGAAUUGCAUCUGUGACUGCAUAGCUAGAGUACGGUAGAGGGGGAUGGAAUUCCGCGUGUAGCAGUGAAAUGCGUAGAUAUGCGGAGGAACACCGAUGGCGAAGGCAAUCCCCUGGACCUGUACCUGACGCUCAUGCACGAAAGCGUGGGGAGCAAACAGG
rnacentral:rRNA from 1 species